CAGUAGCCGCGGUAAUACGAAGGGUGCAAGCGUUUAUCGGAAUUACUGGGCGUAAAGCGCACGCAGGCGGUUCGUUAAGUCAGAUGUGAAAUCCCCGAGCUUAACUUGGGAACUGCAUUUGAAACUGGCAAGCUAGAGUCUUGUAGAGGGGGGUAGAAUUCCAGGUGUAGCGGUGAAAUGCGUAGAGAUCUGGAGGAAUACCGGUGGCGGAGGCGGCCCCCUGGACAAAGACUGACGCUCAGGUGCGAAAGCGUGGGGAGCAAACAGGAUUAGAUACCCGGGUAGUCCCUGUCUCUUAUAC
rnacentral:rRNA from 1 species